AACUCUGGUUGAUCCUGCCAGAGGUCACUGCUAUCGGGGUUCGAUUAAGCCAUGCGAGUCGAGAGGGUUCGGCCCUCGGCGU
rnacentral:rRNA from 1 species